rnacentral:tRNA from 1 species
GAGGGUAUAGCUCAAGUGGUAGAGCACAUGCUUAGCAUGCAUGAGGUCCCAGGUUCAAUCCCCAGUACCUCCU